rnacentral:rRNA from 1 species
GUACACGCUGUGACUAGCAUAUCAAUAAGCGGAGGAAAAGAAACUAACAAGGAUUCCCCUAGUAACGGCGAGUGAAGCGGGAAGAGCUCAAAUUUGAAAUCUUAAAGGGUUUCCCUUUACGAAUUGUAGUUUAAAGAAGUGUUUUCUGUUGAGGUUUUGGUAAAAGUUCUUUGGAAUAGGACAUCAUAGAGGGUGAGAAUCCCGUAUUUGACCUUUACUUUCAACUUUGUGAUACACUUUCAAAGAGUCGGAUUGUUUGGGAAUGCAGUCCAAAAUGGGUGGUAAAUUUCAUCUAAAGCUAAAUAUUGGCGAGAGACCGAUAGCGAACAAGUACCGUGAGGGAAAGAUGAAAAGAACUUUGAAAAGAGAGUUAAACAGUACGUGAAAUUGUCAAAAGGGAAGCGUUUGACACCAGUGUUGCUUUUCUGAAAAUCAAUUAAAGAACUGUUUAUGCUAAGUUGUUUAGACUUUAUCAGCUAUCUGUUUAGUUUUGAGCUUUUCCUUAAUGCACUUUUCAGUUAACAAGUCAACAUCAAUUUCUUUUGCUGUAAAAAAGCUUGAGGAAGGUGGCUUGAGAUUCGUCUUAAGUGUUUAUAGCCUCUUGCCUAUGCAGUCGGAGAGAUUGAGGUCUGCAGCGUAGAUCCUUCGGGGCUAAAUGCAUUUGUGCUAAGUUAUAGCAUUUUAUAGACAACUUGUUGACUAUGAUUUGUCUUGUAGCUUACUCGCUUAUGUUAUUUUACCUACGCUUAGGAUGUUGACUGAUAUGUAGUCGUA